CUCCUUGCACAGGUUCCAACGGCCCUCUUUGCCACACCCCGUAGACGGCACGCACCCACCUACCCAGCAUCCUACUGCUGUGUCUCGUGUGGCCAUCGCCGCAGACUUAGGCAGUCAGCAAGAAGAAACUGUUACCUUCCCUAGAACAGAGUAUGAGCUGUGAGCUUAACUUGAGAAAGACACUGGGAUAGACUAAUGAUGGAGGAUGGAAGGGAAUAAGAAGGGGUGAAGAAAGCCGUGAUUAACACCAAAGGAGAAGAACAAACAUUCAUGGUCAAUGUCAAUGAGGUUCACAAGGAAGAAGGAAGAAGAGAUGAGAAAGAAAAGCAUGAGCCUCGUGAGAAGAAACAGUAAGAAUGAAAUGGUCACUUAAAAAAUAAAGAAGACACAAUUCUUCAGUCCUAUGAAUCUCUCAGUUUUAUUGAAAAGUUUAAGCAAAAUCUUUUCACGUUACAAGUAGUAUUACUCUGCCCACAUGUAGCCAAGACCAUGUACUGUUAUUGCAGUGAAAGUAACUAUAUCAGGAAAACAUAUCAA